rnacentral:rRNA from 1 species
GAUGAACGCUGGCGGCGUGCCUAAUACAUGCAAGUCGAGCGAACAGACGAGGAGCUUGCUCCUCUGACGUUAGCUGCGGAAGGGUGAGUCACACGUGGAUAACCUACCUAUAUAACUUGGAUAACUUCGGGAAACCGGAGCUAAUACCGGCUAAUAUUUUCACCUGCAUGGUUAAAUACUGAAAGACCGUUUUGCUGUACCUUAUUGAUGUAUCCUCGCCGCAUUUGCUAGUUGGUAAGGUAACGGCUUACCAAGGCGACGAUGCGUAGCCGACCUGAGAGGGUGAACGGGCACACUGGAACAGAGACAGGGUCCAGACUCCUAGGGGAGGCAGCAGUAGGGAAUCUUACGCGAUGGGCGAAAGCCUGACAGAGCAACGCCGCGUGAGUGAUGAAGGUCUUCGGAUCGUAAAACGCUGUUAUUAGGGAAGAACAAAUGUGUAAGUAACUAUGCACGUCUUGACGGUACCUAAUCAGAAAGCCACGGCUAACUACGUG